rnacentral:tRNA from 1 species
UGCUUGGUGGUCCAGUGUUAGAACUCUGUACUCUCACUGCUGAGGUCCUGGGUUCAAUUCCUGGUCAGGGAA